rnacentral:rRNA from 1 species
AUCCUGGCUCAGGACGAACGCUGGCGGCGUGCCUAACACAUGCAAGUCGAACGGAACUGUUUUGAAAGAUUUCUUCGGAAUGAAUUUGAUUUAGUUUAGUGGCGGACGGGUGAGUAACGCGUGAGUAACCUGCCUUCAAGAGGGGGAUAACAUUCUGAAAAGAAUGCUAAUACCGCAUGACAUAUCGGAACCACAUGGUUCUGAUAUCAAAGAUUUUAUCGCUUGAAGAUGGACUCGCGUCCGAUUAGUUAGUUGGUGAGGUAACGGCUCACCAAGACCGCGAUCGGUAGCCGGACUGAGAGGUUGAACGGCCACAUUGGGACUGAGACACGGCCCAGACUCCUACGGGAGGCAGCAGUGGGGGAUAUUGCGCAAUGGGGGCAACCCUGACGCAGCAACGCCGCGUGAAGGAUGAAGGUUUUCGGAUUGUAAACUUCUUUUAUUAAGGACGAAAUUUGACGGUACUUAAUGAAUAAGCUCCGGCUAACUACGUGCCAGCAGCCGCGGUAAUACGUAGGGAGCAAGCGUUGUCCGGAUUUACUGGGUGUAAAGGGUGCGUAGGCGGCUUUACAAGUCAGAUGUGAAAUCUAUGGGCUCAACCCAUAAACUGCAUUUGAAACUGUAGAGCUUGAGUGAAGUAGAGGCAGGCGGAAUUCCCCGUGUAGCGGUGAAAUGCGUAGAGAUGGGGAGGAACACCAGUGGCGAAGGCGGCCUGCUGGGCUUUAACUGACGCUGAGGCACGAAAGCGUGGGUAGCAAACAGGAUUAGAUACCCUGGUAGUCCACGCUGUAAACGAU